rnacentral:rRNA from 1 species
AUACGUAGGGAGCGAGCGUUAUCCGGAUUCAUUGGGCGUAAAGCGCGCGUAGGCGGCUCGCCAAGCGGGAUGUCAAAGCCCGGGGCUCAACCCCGGCCCGCAUCCCGAACUGGCGGGCUUGAGUUCGGUAGGGGAAAGUGGAAUGCCCAGUGUAGCGGUGAAAUGCGCAGAUAUUGGGCAGAACACCAGUGGCGAAGGCGGCUUUCUGGGCCGUAACUGACGCUGAGACGCGAAAGCUAGGGGAGC